rnacentral:rRNA from 1 species
UACGGAGGGGGCAAGCGUUGUUCGGAAUUAUUGGGCGUAAGGCGUAUGUAGGCGGCUAGGUAAGUCAGGCGUGCAAGCCCGUGGCUCAACCACGGAAUUGCGUUUGAAACUGUUUAGCUUGAGUACAGGAGAGGAAAGCGGAAUUCCCAGUGUAGCGGUGAAAUGCAUUGAGAUUGGGAAGAACAUCUGUGGCGAAGGCGGCUUUCUGGUCUGUUACUGACGCUGAGGUGCGAAAGCGUGGGGAGCAAACAGG